GACGAACGCUGGCGGCGUGCCUAAUACAUGCAAGUCGAACGCAGUGGGGACGGGUGAGUAACACGUGGGUAACCUCCCAUCAGAGGGGAUAACACUUGGAAACAGGUGCUAAACCGAUACUGAUGGAUGGACCCGCGGUGCAUUAGCUGGUUGGUGAGGUAACGGCUCACCAAGGCCACGAGGCAUAGCCGGCCUGAGAGGGGGAUCGGCAACACUGGGAGUGAGACACGGCCCAGACGCAUGAGGGAGUAAGCAGUAGGGAAUAUUCAGCAAUGGACGAAAGUCUGACCGAGCAACGCCGCGGGAGUGAAGAAGGUUUUCGGAUCGUAAACCUCUGUUGUUAGAGAAGCGGUAUCUAACCAGAAAGCCACGGCUAACUACGUGCCAGCAGCCGCGGUAAUAC
rnacentral:rRNA from 1 species